UACGGAGGGGGCGAGCGUUAUUCGGAAUUAUUGGGCGUAAAGGGCUCGUAGGCGGUUUUGUCGCGUCGGGAGUGAAAACGCCGUGCUUAACACGGCGCUUGCUUUCGAUACGGGCAGACUAGAGGUAUUCAGGGGAGAACGGAAUUCCUGGAUGUAGCGGUGAAUGACGCAGAUAUCAGGAGGAACACCGGUGGCGAAGGCGGUUCUCUGGGAAUGACCUGACGCUGAGGAGCGAAAGUGUGGGGAGCGAACAGG
rnacentral:rRNA from 1 species